AUGAACAUCACCGGCGACUUCUUCACCUACACCGGCUUUCGUGUCACGAACGGGACCCUACCAUGGCCUCGGUGGAACCUCAUUGCGAUCAAGGCCAACAUGGAAGCGUUUCCGGCGCUCAAUGGGCAGAGUGUGUCCUACACCAAGCUCGUGUUCCCCUCCAAAUGCGUCAACCCACCGCACACCCAUCCGCGCGCUGCCGAGCUGCUAUUUGUCCUCAACGGUGCACUCCCCGUCGGGUUUGUCGACACCGCUGGCAAGCUCUACACACAAGACCUCUCAGUCGGCGACAUGUUCGUGUUCCCCAAGGGCCUAGUCCACUACCAGUACAACCUGGGGCAAAGUCCUGCCAUCGCGCUAUCGGCCUUCGGCAGCGCCGCCCCGGGCACUGUGGAUGUGCCUGCCUCCGUGUUCGGCACCAGCAUUGACAACGUCGUGCUCGCCAAGUCGUUCAAGACUGACUUUUGGACGGUGCAGAAGCUCAAGGCAGCACUCACUCCACCGCCCAAGAA
rnacentral:rRNA from 1 species